rnacentral:rRNA from 1 species
UAAGGUGGUUAUAGCGACGGGGCUCACCUCUUACCAUUCCGAACAGAGAAGUUAAGCCCGUUAGCGCCGAUGGUACUACACUUGUGGAAGAGUAGGUCGCCGCCUUCU